GGUCUUGACAUACCAUUGACAGGUGUAGAGAUACACUCUCCUUCGGGCAAUGGAUACAGGUGGUGCAUGGUUGUCGUCAGCUCGUGCCGUGAGGUGUUGGGUUAAGUCCCGCAACGAGCGCAACCCUCAUUGUUAGUUACUACCAUUCAGUUGAGGACUCUAAUGAGACUGCCAACGACAAGUUGGAGGAAGGUGGGGAUGACGUCAAAUCAUCAUGCCCUUUAUGACCUGGGCUACAAACGUACUACAAUGGCCAAUACAAAGAGAUGCGAAGCGGUGACGUGAAGCGAACCUCAGAAAGUUGGUCUCAGUUCAGAUUGAAGUCUGCAACUCGACUUCAUGAAGGCGGAAUCGCUAGUAAUCGCGGGUCAGCAGACCGCGGUGAAUACGUUCCCGGGUUUU
rnacentral:rRNA from 1 species